rnacentral:lncRNA from 1 species
UAGCUUCCAAACCACAAUUAGUACUAUAUAAAAUUAAAUAAUAUUAUCCAAAUGCAUAAUUAACAGUACACCAUAUGAUGACUAAAAUAUUGUCCAUGUGCAUAUUGAGUACUACACAUAAUUAAUAGCUCACCACAUAAUAAUAUUGCCCAAGUGCUUAUGUAGUACUACACCACAUAAUUGAUAGUUCACAUAAUAAUAUUGCCCAAGUGCAUUAUUAAUACUGCACCACAUUAAAACAUCGAUAUCUUUAACCUUAGGAAAAUUGUUGAAGCCGAAAUUUUCUAUGCUUUGUACUUUUAGCCAAGAAAGCUUUAGCUUUGGAUUCACGAACCGCAAGAUAAUCAAACACACUACAAAGGAAGUCGCCAUCAAAUCUUUCCACCUCUAUCGCCAUCACUUCUCUGUAAAUAUGUUGUGUUUUAUCCUCAGUAAAUUGUUUCAAUGCAUAAGCAAUCUUACCAAGUUGCUCACCCACAAAAUGAAUUUGUUCAUCAACGACACUUUCUUGAAUAUUUCUCCUUUUACGUUUAAAUGUGCCAGAUGAAUAUGCUUUUGUUCUUACCUCCUUAACAUCUUCGUUUUUGCAAUUUCAUCAUAAUGAUCAAUGCUUUUGUUCAAUAAUGGUUCAUACUUCUUGUGUGCCCGUUGGAUAUUAUACACAUUUAGAAUAGCAAGUAAAAAACAACUGAAAUAUAUUUAACAUAUAUAUAUUACCAUGACCGCUGCAUCAUAUGUUGUUCUAUCACAUGUAAUCAUUUUCAUAUUAUUUUCCCAUCCAGAACCACAUUCGACUCAAAUUGUGCAUAUAAUUUGCCAUGUGUUUUUUACAGUCCUUAGAUGAUUUUCCACAUGCUUAGCAUCACAUUGAACUUGGAAUCUUUCAAAAAUAGCUACAACAACUUGAUUAACAGAAACUGUUGAAAGUGUUAGGAGUCUUAUUUUCUUUCUAGGCCUCAUCUGCAAGAAUUUCAAGAAAAAGAUGUUCCAUUGGUUUUGUCCAUCUGAAUUGCUUUAUUGUCCCUUUUUGUUGCCCUUACCCAUUUUCCAUUAAUAAUUUAUAUUAUCUAUAAUUUCAAUAUCCAACAAGCUUAAAACAUAAUAAUUUCAAUAUUCAACAAGCUAAUUUUAAUAUCAAUAUUCAAUAACAUUAAAAAAAUAACAAUUUGAAUAUUAAAACAUACAUAAUAUAGAAAUGCUAACCUUAAGUCAUAAACCUAUCUAAUGUUUCUAGCAAUAUAAUCAAUCCACAUAGUUUGUGCAAUUUUCUCUCUCUUAGUAGACCAUUCGCUUGCUUCUCAUAUAACCCUUGAUUAAGUAAAUCAUUAGGAUCAACUCCUAUUAUCUGAUUAUGAAUGAUACAACAAGCCAACACUGUAUCUACUUGAGUUUGGAAAUUCUAAAAUGGUUUAGCAUCUAACACACAAAAUCGUUUCUUCAAAAUCCCACAAAAUGGUUUAGCAUCUAACUCCUUUGCAUUUUUGGCCCCUUAUCAUUAAACUCUUUUAGUUGAUAUUAGACACCAUGAUAUGGAGUAAUAUAUCCAUAUCGGAUGCCAUAUCCAGCAUUAGCAAGAUAAUAUUUACCUAUAAUUUUACAAAACAUAAUUAUUACUAAUAAAUUAUGAGCUUAAUUGAACUAUUUUGUAUAAUUAAUGUUAAUUCUUAUCUUUUGGAAUUUUAAAUCUUCUUGGGCAUGCAAGUGCGUCACUUAAAAUACGAGAAUCAUGUGCACUACCUUCCCAACCAAUGUAAUGCCAGCUAAUACAUUUUGUGUCGUCCCCCAUUUACGGCUACGAAAUCUUCCUUGAAUACUAAGUGGAAUGGAUGCACGAACAAGUGUUCCAUCUAAUGCUCUAAUGCAAUAUAUAAAAUGAGGAUAUAACUUUGGAUUGUUUCUAAUUUCAAAAGGAUUUGACUCAUCAAGUAAUCUAAUGACUAGUUUAUAAAAUUUCAAAAUAGCUCUUAUUACAACCCUAAAGUAAUAAUGAAUUGUCUCAAUUGAUCUAUAAUAUCUUGAUCCAAUCCCUCAAAAUCUUACAAUAUGGCCAAUUAUAUGUAAAAAUACAACCACUUGCUCCCUAUUAUUCACUGAUUUUGUUUAUUGUAACAAAAUGUUCCUAUUAAGAAUGUCACACAAAUUAAAAAAAAAAGAAACCGAUCUCAUCAUUAUCACAUCAAUACAAUUGUUAGCUCAAAUAAUCAAAUUGAAAUUUCCAGGAGGGGGUUAAUUGGCUUUUCUAAAAUUUUGUGGAAGCUAGAGAAUAAGGAUAGAAAAAUUUGACACAAAAAUUUAGAGUGGUUCGGCCCCAAUUGCCUACUCCACUACCAUAGCUUUCCACUACUAAGGAUUUUCUCAAAUUCACUAAUCUGAUAACCUUUGAGGACAAGAUUUAACAUUACAAACUCCCUGAAGGUUUCCACCUAAACCUUAAGACACAAACCUUUCUCAAAGAGAUACAAAUAAGCAAAUAAAUAGAAACACUUGAGCUGAAUGAAAACAAUGAAAGCUCACAAGUGUUUAAAGAAAAUUGAUGAGAAUUGUAAACACAAACUUGUUUUAAUUGAUCUUUAAAUUUGAUAAUCUCUCUAUUAUGUUUUAGGACCUUUUAGAAGCUGGUUUAUAUACCCCCUAAUCGAUUUCCAACUGUUGUGAUUGUUGUAGACAUGAAUAGAGAAGUUGAUGAUGAAAUCACCAGUGCAUUUAAUUCACCUGCAACUACGACUAUCGAUACUGACCAAAGAGGUAUCAAUAUUUUUUGCAUUUAAUUUAAAAUUCAAUGGUCGUUGGAGCUAAAGAUAUCGAUACCAAUGGACUUUUAUAGAUGCCAUAUAAAAAAAGUAUUGAUACUGGGUCGAUAAUUAGCUGAAUUGGUUGAGAAAUAGAAUGUCAAUUUGGUACCAAUUUUUAAAGGGGUAUCGAUAUUUUAGAAAGUAUCGAUCGUAAUGCCCCAAAAAUGUGAGUUUUCUUACUAGGUUGUGUUAAUGAAAAUGUGGGUGUUUCUGCGGUAAUAUGCUCUAGUUGCUCACUGAAGGUCUAUGGUUCAAGUCGCAUCUUUUAAAGUUUUAUGUAUUCUUUAAUUGAAUUUUUAGACUUGCAAGUGUCACAUAAGUUAAAUUUUGUGUGUUGAUGUCUCAAUGAUGAGCCUAAAGGUUCAAUGGUUAAACAUCUGUCUGUUUCAUUGGUCCCGUGUUUGAAUCUCUACAUGUGAAUUAAGUAAUAUUAUUUUUGAACUUUUCUGUAAAUAUCGAUAUUAGAAUUUUAAAUGAAUUUCCUAAUACGUUUAACUUCUUUUCCCUCACUUUUUUUAUUUUCUUAUUUAUUUUUGGCAUUGUUUUUUAAUUCCUCUUCGUAUAACGUUCUGUUGGGUUAAUUGUUGAAUCAUAUCGUGCUGUUGGUUGUUUCGGUGCUUAAAGGUAAGAUUAAACCGUAGUAAUUCUGGUUUUUAUGUAUGAAUUAUGAAUUUCUUUGAAAUCCCAAAGUGAGGGUGUUGAUGAGAUGCCUAUUGCUUUUCUCUUCUUCUAGAACUCGAGUGUGUGCUGUUGAACUUUCGGUAAAAAAGUUUUGUUCGUUUCAAGUUUGUGAAUUUAAGGUUGCAACGUUGAUUGUUGUUGUAAUUUAGCGCAUCCCUUUAAAUCUCUGUUAAUUAAGUAAUUGAAUUUGGUUUAUAGGCUUUGGGAGUCUCGGGAUUGCUUCUGCGUCGUCGAUGUUUCAGUAGGUUAUCGAAACAUUUCUUCUUCUAUGUUUUUUUAUCAUCGAAAUUGGGACAGUCGAUGGCACACGGGCGUGUAUGCCACACGGUUGAUUGGAGAACCGUGUGAUGGAAUGUGUAACUGACUGAAUUUAGAUUUGAGACACACGGACGAGCUACACGGACGAGCUACAUGAGCUGCACUGAUUGACUUCAUUACUUAUGUUUUAGGGUCACACGAGCAAGGGACACAGGUGUGUGCCAGAUUGUGUGAGGUGCACGGUCAGCACACGGGCGUGUACCUAGAUCAUGUAACUCACUAACUUGGUGAAUAGAGGGACACAAGCAGCCACACGGCUGUGGGCUAGACCGUGUAGAGUCGUACGGGCACCCACACGGGCAUGUGAGCUUGAAUCACCUAAUUUCUGUUAACACCAUAAUUGUUGUACGAGGUGAGUGUAAGCCGUCUGUAGGAUAUGUAUGAACUAAACUAAACUGUAUGAUUUGCUUUAUCAUGAUUAUAAACUGGUUCUACAUACUUGUGUGAGACAAUUCGUAAGGAUUUGAACCCUCUAUUAUAUUGGAACUGUAUGAUUGUAUCCGUAUAAGAAUUCAUAUAUUGGUCAUCUAUUCUUUGCAUUUGCAUGGGGCGGGAAGUAUGAAUUGAAAGAAGUGUUCUGUACUGAUUUCGUGGUCAAACCACCCGUAAUUAUAUUUGAUUUGACAGUGAGACCGUAAACACUGCAACGUGACGUACUAUGAGGUGUGUAGGGCUAGACGGGUAUUAUAUACCUACUGGUGUGUUGGGUUGGUCAGAGAUGGUGUGUAGCGGAUGAGGGUAGGAUAAUUGCAUAUGUAUCUGUAUUUACAUCUGAAUCUAUUUUUGUAUCUGAUCUGCUGUGUAUCUGAACUACUCGGUAUCUGAUACUAUUGUGAAUUAUUAAUUUGAUCGAAUAAGACUGAGUGUGUUGUCUCAAUUCUCAAUGAUAUCUAAGUUAUUUUACGUACGUUGAGUAUUUAUAUUUUAAAUUAGGUUGAAACGUAUUAACUAGACUGAAUGAAUUUCAGGAACCUCCCAGAACUAAGUGGCCAGCGGACGUGGGACUCGGUCAUCUAAUGGUCCUAUUUUAAAUAUAUGUGUGCGUGUGUGUUUAAACUUGUUAUUUGUUUUCCAACUUUAAGUUUUAAGAUUUAAUUAUGUUGAAUGGUUGAUGGUUUUAAGACUUAUCUAUGUAUCGAUUAAACCGGCUUUAACUCCAUCUGUUUCUAGUAAGUUCAUUUGACAUCCUAGGCUUGGUCUUUUUGUUUAGGCCGGGUUCAUGGUGUUACAUCGAUGCUUUUUAGCCUAGAGCUAUUCUGACUUGUUUUAAAAAUAGUUUAACUAAUUGACAACAUUCUAAUUUGAUUGAAAUCAUUAACUUGAAUUAAAAGUUUACUCAAAAAUUUUCUAAGAGUCCAAAGUAUAAUAUUCAAAAUGUUAUCUCUUAAAUUUCAUUCAAAAUACCUUUUUGCCAACUUUUUUCACCUUUAACUUUUAUUUGAAAAUAUUUUAAUUUGAUAUAUCAAAAAAUAUUAUCAAAUAAAUCUUGGUUAACAACAAUGCUGAUCACCUAUAUAUAAAAUAUUAUUAAUCUAAUUUUCUCUUUCAUAAUCUCGUAUCACACGAGGGUAAUAAGCAAUUUGUUUCCUAGUUUUUAAUCUAUUAAUCCAAAGAGCCCAAGAGCUCAUACUGAAGCCAUGACCCCAACUAUUGCAUUAUGAUCUUCAUUAUGGUCCAUCUACACAAAAUAAUUCCACAAAAAUAUUUGAACAUUACGAAAAAUAAUUUCAAGUUGUGGUUGAGCUCAAGAACUAAUGAAACCAACAUCAGCAAUAAAAAAUACAAACCAAACCUAAACCACAAGACAACCACACCAAAUCACAUAGCGAGUACCUCAAGAAACAACUCAAAUCACAAGACAAUCAGAAGAACGCAUGCCCACGUUAACAAAAAAAAACAAUGCACCAAGGCAUAAACACUGCUUGUUUAGCCACUUGUUAUAUGCACUUAGUUCUUCAUUCAUCCUUAAACCCACAUAAAGAAAUAUUGAACCAUUGAUAAUUCCUUACUUACUUGCAUUAGCUACGAACUCAACCUUCACCCAACUUCUAUGACUAUAUCGCAUUUCAUGUAAAAAUUCUAUACACAUCACCCUUUUGGUCACAAUUGAAAUCCUAAAGGAUCAAUCAUUUCAAUUACUAAUAUGUAGCUAAAAAACAUGCAGAUCAGAAGCAUGAUAAGUUAGGAACAAUAACACAACCAAAGAAACACACACAAUCAUUGCAAUGGAGAGUAAACAAACAAAACUCAUAUAUAUUAAGAAUGGAACAAAUAUUAUAAUUGUAAUAUGCUUAAUAUUAUUUUUGAAAAAAUAAUUUUGAAAUUUCAUUGAGACAUUUCAACAAACACCAAACAGACACAAUCACUAAACAAAUUAAAACAUAGUUACUUAAGCUCAAGCUAACCCUGCAACUUUUACUUAGAAGUAUAAUUGCUAUCAACAAUUUUACCAAAACAAACAUCUAAAAAAAUAAUUUACAAUUAUGUCUUUCAGUGUUCCAACAAGAACAACUCAAUUCUUAAGGAAAAAGCCCAACAUCUAUUAAAUAAACCCAAAGAGCUAAAGCAAAUAGACAUACUAUCAAUAUCAAUGAACUGAUUUCGCCAAAUCAUUGGCAGAAUCAAAUUGACACCAGCAUCAAAAGAAAAUUUUGCUCUUAAAAGUAAAAAGACGACAGAAAACUUCUUGCAUUAUUCUCAACGAAGCAAUUCACUAGCUUUAGAAAUUCUCAACACUUACUUGUACGAAGGCCCUAAAAAGAUAAGCAAAGGCAAAAUUAACAGUAGUAAAAACCAUGCCAAGAGUUGGCAAGAGUUAAUUUUUUUUGUAUUUAUCGUUAAAGUUAAAAAACGUAUUUAUCGUUAAUUAAUGUCUAAAUGAAGAUUCAAUCUGACCCAUUAGAUAAUAAUCUUUACUAUUAAUUUAGUAUUGGACAUAAAUGGAGGAAUUUUGUAUUGGAUGGAACGUAACCCUUUAGAUCCUAACUCCAAAACUACAUUAAUUAGAAUUAAUCAAAUAAUGUACUUCAUUGAAACUGAUAAAACCGUAUGUGUUAAUUAAAUUGAUUUUAACCCAUUUUCUCUAAUCGAAUCAAAGCUACAAACCACCAAAAUUUCCCAAAAUAUUUUCUAUUUUAUUAGUCGCAACUCACAAUCGUCGUCCAAACAAUACAAGCCAUUUCACACUAGCAAGUUAUGAUCAAUAAACCAACAUACAUCUUCAACACAACAAGAGAAAACAAAGCGAACCAAAUUGAAAAAAGUAUAGGAGAGUAAUGGGAAAUAGCAAUAGGAUCGAAAAAAAUAAAUAUGGCAAAGUGAUGCGGAGACAAAGGCAGAGACCAAAGAACAGAAAUCGAACCAAUCUUCAAGUUAAGCUGAGGGUUUCAAAACUUACCUUCUUUUUAUGGUCUUUAGCUAGGUUGUCAAAAACUUGAAGGCAAUAAAAGGGUUAGGUCAAGGACUAGAGGCGGCGGAGGGAUGGGUAAAAUGGGAGGACAAGAAGACAAGGCGACGGAGGGAUUGGAGAGAUGGGUGAAUUUUCUGGUUAGUUUACCAGGGCAUGUGAAGAGGAGAAACGAUUGGAAAAUGUCUUACGAGAUUAGAAAGCGUAAGACAUUUCCCUAAAACAGACUUUCAUUCUAUUGUGUUUUGGAGAGGGAUUUCCUUCGGUAACACAUUUUCCACCAAACAAACAUGGGAAAACAAUAAAAAUGUUAAAAAC